rnacentral:rRNA from 1 species
UACGUAGGGGGCAAGCGUUAUCCGGAUUCACUGGGUUUAAAGGGUGCGUAGGCGGGUUGGUAAGUCCGUGGUGAAAUCUCCGAGCUUAACUCGGAAACUGCCGUGGAUACUAUCAAUCUUGAAUAUCGUGGAGGUAAGCGGAAUAUGUCAUGUAGCGGUGAAAUGCUUAGAUAUGACAUAGAACACCAAUUGCGUAGGCAGCUUACUACACGAUCAUUGACGCUGAGGCACGAAAGCGUGGGGAGCAAACAGG